rnacentral:rRNA from 1 species
AACGAACGCUGGCGGCAUGCCUAACACAUGCAAGUCGAACGAGUCCUUCGGGCUUAGUGGCGCAUGGGUGCGUAACGCGUGGGAACCUGCCCUUAGGUUCGGCAUAACUCCCCGAAUGGGGUGCUAAUACCGGAUAAUGUCCUCCGUACAAAGGUUUAUCGCCUUUGGAUGGGCCUGCGUGGGAUUAGCUAGUUGGUAGGGUAAAAGCCUACCACUGCGUCGUUCCAUAGCUGGUUUGAGAGGAUGAUCAGCCACACUGGGCCGGAGACACGGCCCAGACUACUACGGGAGGCAGCAGUGGGGAAUAUAGGACAAUGGGCGAAAGCCUGAUCCAGCAAUGCCGCGUGAGUGAUGAAGGCCUUAUGGUUGUAAAGCUCUUUUACCCGGGAUGAUAAUGACAGUACCAGGAGAAUAAGCACCGGCUAACUCCGUG